UAUUAAAAAAUUCACUCAUUUCUAUUGUUAAAAGAUGAUAUGACUAACAAAACAACCAAAUAAUGACACGUGACAUUUCAUGUGUACCUCAUGUUGACGUAUGUGAACUAAUUUUUAACAAUAGAAAUGAAUGAAACUUUUAAUA
rfam:Gossypium raimondii Chr07_contig_1435, whole genome shotgun sequence.